rnacentral:rRNA from 1 species
UUAUCGGAAUACUGNGCGUAAGCGUGCGUAACGGCCUGUUAGUCGGAUGUGAAAGCCCCGGGNCUCAACCUGGGAAUGGCAUCCGAUACUGAUGGGCUAGAGUGCGGUAGAGGAGAGCGGAAUUCCCGGUGUAGCGGUGAAAUGCGUAGAGAUCGGGAGGAACAUCCGUGGCGAAGGCGGCUCUCUGGACCAGCACUGACGUUGAGGCACGAAAGCGUGGGGAGCAUACAGGAUUAGAUACCCUGGUAGUCCACGCCCUAAACGAUGUCGACUGGAUGUUGGGCACACUUUGGUGCUCAGUAUCGAAGCUAACGCGUUAAGUCGACCGCCUGGUGAGUAUGCGCGCAAGCGUGAAACUCAAAGGAAUUGACGGGGGCCCGCACAAGCGGUGGAGUAUGUGGUUUAAUUCGAUGCAACGCGAAGAACCUUACCUGGCCUUGACAUGUCUGGAAUCCUGCAGAGAUGCGGGAGUGCCUUCGGGAAUCAGAACACAGGUGCUGCAUGGCUGUCGUCAGCUCGUGUCGUGAGAUGUUGGGUUAAGUCCCGCAACGAGCGCAACCCUUGUCCUUAGUUGCCAGCGCGUAAUGGCGGGAACUCUAAGGAGACUGCCGGUGACAAACCGGAGGAAGGUGGGGAUGACGUCAAGUCAUCAUGGCCCCUACGGCCAGGGCUACACACGUACUACAAUGGUCGGUACAGAGGGUUGCAAUACCGCGAGGUGGAGCCAAUCCCAGAAAGCCGAUCCCAGUCCGGAUUGGAGUCUGCAACUCGACUCCAUGAAGUCGGAAUCGCUAGUAAUCGCGAAUCAGCAUUGUCGCGGUGAAUACGUUCCCGGGCCUUGUACACACCGCCCGUCACACCAUGGGAAGUUGUUGCACCAGAAGCAGGUAGCUUAAGCGCAAGGGGGGCGCUUGCCACGGUGUGGCCGAU